rnacentral:tRNA from 1 species
GGAGACGUACUCAAGUGGUUAAGAGGUCACCCCGCUAAGGUGUUAGGGGCGCAAGCCUGCAUGCGUUCGAAUCGCAUCGUCUCCGCCA